GAUGAACGCUGGCGGCGUGCCUAACACAUGCAAGUCGAGCGAACAGACGAGGAGUUUGCUCCUCUGACGUUAGCGGCGGACGGGUGAGUCACAUGUGGAUAACCUACCUAUCAGACUGGGAUAAUUACGGCAAACCGGAGCUUAUACCGGAUAAUAUAUUGCACCGCAUGGUUCAAUAGUGAAAUUCGGUUUUUCUGUCACUUAUAGCUGGAUACGCGCCUCAUUAGCUAGUUGGUACGGUAACGGCUUACCAAGGCAACGAUGCGUAGCCGACCUGAGCGGGUGGUCGGCCACACUGGAAGUGAGACAGGGCACAUAAUCCUAGGGGGGGAAACAGAAGGGAAUCUUCCGGAAGGGGCGAAAGCCUAACAGAGCAACGCGGGGUAAGAGAUGAAGGUGUUCGGAUCGGAAAGCUCUGUUUUUAGUGAAGAACAAAUGUGUAAUUAACUAGGCACUUCUUGACGGUACCUAAUCAAAAAGCCACGGCUAACUACGUG
rnacentral:rRNA from 1 species